rnacentral:rRNA from 1 species
CCUACGGGAGGCAGCAGUGAGGAAUAUUGGGCAAUGGGCGCGAGCCUGAACCAGCCAAGUAGCGUGAAGGAUGACUGCCCUACGGGUUGUAAACUUCUGUUAUAAAGGAAUAAAGUGAGGCACGUGUGCCUUUUUGUAUGUACUUUAUGAAUAAGGAUCGGCUAACUCCGUGCCAGCAGCCGCGGUAAUACGGAGGAUCCGAGCGUUAUCCGGAUUUAUUGUGGUUAAAGGGAGCGUAGAUGGGUUGGUAAGUCAGUUGGGAAAGUUUGCGGCUCAACCGUAAAAUGGCAAUUGAUACGGGCAGUCUUGCGUACCGUUGCGGUCGGCGGACUUCGUGGUGUCGCGG